GAUGAAGAACGCAGCGAAAUGCGAUAAGUAGUGUGAAUUGCAGAAUUCAGUGAAUCAUCGAAUCUUUGAACGCACAUUGCGCCCGCUGGUAUUCCGGCGGGCAUGCCUGUUCGAGCGUCAUUUCAACCCUCAAGCCCCCGGGUUUGGUGUUGGGGAUCGGCUCUGCCCUUCUGGGCGGUGCCGCCCCCGAAAUACAUUGGCGGUCUCGCUGCAGCCUCCAUUGCGUAGUAGCUAACACCUCGCAACUGGAACGCGGCGCGGCCAUGCCGUAAAACCCCAACUUCUGAAUGUUGACCUCGGAUCAGGUAGGAAUACCCGCUGAACUUAAGCAUAUCAAUAAGCGGAGGA
rnacentral:misc_RNA from 1 species